AUAUUAAAAGUGUAUUUAAAUCGACAAGUGUAAAUAAUUAUAACAAAGAAAUAAAAUCACUCCACUCUGUUAAUUUGUAGAAUAAUUAUUUUUAUAAUCAACUGAGCAAUACAAAUGGCAAUUUGUACUACCUAAAGACUGCAGCAAAUUUUAUUUAAUAAACAAACAUUCUGUGAAUAUAGCAUGGUCAGUUACCAUAGGUGGAUCCAGGGGCGGCCGCCACCCCCCCCCCUUUUCGUGGGAAAAAUUUGGUGGAUUAUAUAGGGAAUCACUGAAGCAUGACUCGAGCGGGGUCCCCUUAGGUCAGUCAGCAGGCCCCCUCUUUUGAAAAGUUCUGGAUCCGCCACUGGUUACUGGUUAAAAAUUCAUUGUUUUGAUGUUAUAUGUAUAUGUAAAUUUUUCAGAAAACAAAAUACUUAAUAUAUGUAAUACCUGGAUUUUAAUGUGCAUUUUUUUCCAAUCUGUAGAAGAUAACUAAGUAGACAAACACACGAGUUUCAUUUGAUAUGGUCCACCCAGUUACACAGUUUAAAUUUAUCAAACCUCUUUCCCAACUUAGAUUGUUUGGCAUCUUCUGCAGGUAUGGAAAAAAAUGAAUAGCAAAGUCUUGAAAAGUGUAUCAUUUUCUGGAACGUCAAAUGCAUUUGAAAUUUAAUUAUGUAGUUCAUGCCAUCUAAGUACACAUGUACUUAAUACAUAUAAUAUCAUCUUUCCAAUUUUAAUGCCAACUCAAGAGUUUUCACCCCAAUUUUUUCAGUCCACUGAAAUAGACAAUGACAGUGCUAGUGGGGCCUACUAAUGACUAAUUCUUGUUUUAUAUAUUUUCAUGUGUAUGCAUGGUUGUAUAUAUAUUUAUAUUUCAUUUCAGAGUAAAGUUGCUUCAAAGAAAUAAAAAAUUGGUUGAUCAAUUUAUUUUUAGUUCGCCAAGCUCAUCUCAUGCAUUUGGCGUCCGUCAUCGUUGUCCGUUAACUUUUACAUAAAUCUUCUCCUCUGAAACUACUGGGCCAAAAAAAACUAAACCUGGCCUAAAUCAUCCUUAUUGUGUCUAGUUUAAAAAAUGUAUCUGAUGACCCGCCUGCCAUUAACCAGAUGGCUGCCAUGGCUCAAAAUAGAACAUAGGGGUAAAAUGCAGUUUAUGGCUUAUGUCUCUGAAAAGCAUGUAGAGUAAAUCUGACAAAAGGUAGAAAUGUUCAUUAGGUGAAGAUCUAUCUGCCUAUUCGGCAGUAAGGUUGAUCUAUAUCAUUUAGUAUAUUUUUAUGUGUUUGGUAGUCUAUUUGGUAUGUAGUUGUAUUAGUAUUGGCACAUCUCAUUACCAUGGAGAUUAUUUUGCUCCGCCCGCCUUCUCAGUUAUGGUUUAUUGACUUUGAAAUUUUGCUUAGUUUAUGUAUUAGUUUGUUAAGUAAAGGCAACAGUAGUAUACCGCUGUUCAAAACUCAUAAAUCCAUGGACAAAAAAACAAAAUCGGGGUAACAAACUAAAACCGAGGGAAACGCAUUAAAUAUAAGAGGAGAACAACGACAUA
rnacentral:lncRNA from 1 species